rnacentral:lncRNA from 1 species
UUUAAUAUUAAAAUUAAUUACAUAUUCACUUCUUUUAAGAGUUUUAACUUCAGACUAAUCCCAUUGAGAACAAAGCAGUAUGUUAUAUCAGGUAGAAGCAACAAAAGGUCUCCUUGAAUUCACAAGUUAAGUUUAAUUAUUGAAAGGACGCAUGACUAGGAUAGUCCGAAUAGCAGCAAAUAAACAUGGAACCACAAAUUAUAAACUUCUAAUGGAAAUUUUAUCCAAAACAGCACUCUAUUUUAAAUGCCCCAGAAUAAUUACAUUAUCACCAUCCUGAAUUACAACGUGAGAGUGAUACCACGCAACAUACAUAACACAACAAUUGAAUAUAGACCCAAUACAAUUUCAAUCAAAAAACACUUUGGAUAAUAAAUACAACAUUCAAAUUGUUCCCAAAUGUUUGGAGCUUGUGACAGAUUCAUGGCAUUUCUAGCUCAAACGAGUUUAGAACUCGGGUCCCAAAUACUAUGGCAAUAUCUAAAUCCAAUUUUAUACUCAAAAUGGACAAAACAUGCAAAUCAAUGAUUAUAAUAACUUGCUCAACAGAUAAGAACAUGUAAUUUCGGAAAUCCUUUCUCAUAAAAAACAACAAGUGGUCCAAAUCAAAUUACAGAGUCAAAAUUGAGGAAAUGUACCUUGCUCCAACAGACAACAACUAUCCAGUAUAGUCCCACAAAGUGGGGUCUGGGAAUAAAAAAAACAAUGAUAAGGAAUGAAUCAGGGCUCAGCAAUGCAGCGAAUCAGCAGCACACAGUAGUUUUCUUCGAUUUAAAAGCUUUUACCCAGGAAAUGUGCAGCAACCCAUUAAACUUGAAAAAGCCAUCGGCUCUUCUCCUCUUUCAUUUUUUUUGAACUUUUCUUUAGUUUUGAAGAUUAAUGAUUUUCGGAUCUUCAUUUAAGUUUUUGUUUUAGCUUUGUUUCAGCCAUUUGUGCAUUUCGUAUGUUUAAAUCAUGAGUGAAAAAUGAGUGUAGGAAAAAAAAAGAAGGGGAGGGCGUUAUUGUGCGAUUUGGAGAAGAGGCUUCUGUUAUGGUGAGGAAAAUCAGGGGAGUGAAGGGAUGUCCAAAUGAAUUUGAUCGAGGACCAAGAAGGAGGGCUCGAUCCACCAUUUGUGGUUGUUCUUCAAGAGAAGAAGCUCCCUGUUGCCCGAUUUUCUUGUGAAGGGGUAUGAUGUGUAAAAGGGGGAGGGUUUUUUUUUUAUUUUUGUGUGUGUCCUCUAGAGUAAAUCGAGUGUGUGUGCUUUAUCGUGAAGAAGAAGAGAACAGGAAAGGGGGCACGCAUUUCGCGUGUCUCUAAGGGAAGAAGGGAUAUUAGCUAAAUGGGAUUUCGGUCAUGGGUCAUGGGUUUUUGGGAUGGAUUUAAUUGGGCUGAGCUAUUUGGCCCAGAUUUGGGUCUUAAGACCAACCUUUUAGUUUGUUUUUCUUUGGUUUUUCUCUUUUAUCUCUUUUAUUAAUUAAUUAAAAUCCUAAUUUAUUUUUGUAGACAUUAAAACAACUAAUUAACUUAAACUGAAGAAAAAUGUUAAUUUUAAAGAUUAAAAGCUAAAGAUAGUCAUAUUUUGUGAUUUAUCUUAAUGAAAUUAAUUCAUAUAUGAAAAUUGGACCUAAGGUGACAUAAAAUUAAAACGUGACAUUUUUUAUGAUUUUUUUAUGAUUUUAAAAUAUUAAAAAUUCAUGAAGGCAACUAAAUAAAGAAAAACUUCUAAAAUCCAUUAAAAAUUAUUUUUGGUUUAUUUGUAGGAGUUAUCUUCAUGUAGGGCCAAAAUCACGUGCUUACAUCACCCCUCGUGCUUUUACUCUCAUUCCUCACCAAAGCUGUCAAAUAUAAUGCACGGCAUCACUCUUCAUGCUUUUUACUCUCAUUUCUCACCAAGAAUAUCAAAUAUAAUGCACGGCAUCACCCUUCGUGCUUUUACUCUCAAUAUACAGUGCACGGCAUCACCCUUCUAGAGUAUCGACAAAGAAUCAAAAAUCAACAAUUGCACGACAACACCCUUCAUGCUUUUACUCUCAUCCUCACCCAAAGAAAAUAUAUAAUUAAAAUAGUACACGAUAUCACCCUUCGUGCUUUUACUCUCUCUUCCUCACCCAAUCAAUGCUCACAACCAAACAGGAAAGGAAAUAUAUAUCAAGGCAAAAUAUCCCGGCAAGGGACAAUAAUUCAACAAUAAAUCCCGGCAAGGGAAUACAACUCAACGAUAGGCCCCGGUAAGGAAAAAGUACCAAAAAUUUCUCUUUAAAUCAUUUACUUCCCAACUAUCACUUCAUAGUUCAUGUAACAAGUUGUUCACUUCUUUCGCAAUUUUAAUAGUGAAGAUGACUCACAGUCAUGCUAGACUCGGGCGCAUAGGUAACCGUCACCAUAGCUAUACACCGACCCCACAAAGCACAUAGCAAAUAUCAACCUAAUCUUAUUCCCUCAAGCCAAAUCGAAAGCUUCCAACUCAACUCACGCCUCUAAAAUAGCUUUACCUAUCGAAUUCGCCUCAAAACCGGUCGAAUAUAUCCACAAUUUACUCAAAUGUAUCAACAAAUGCUGGUUAAAUCAAUUUGAAUGCAUAAGAAUGAAAUUCCCAAAGUUUUAUCCAAAAUUCCCAAUAUGCCUCCGGAUGCUGGUUAAAUCAAUUUGAAUGCAUAAGAAUGAAAUUUCCAAAGUUUUACCCAAAAAUUCCCAAAAUACCCCUGGCCCACGUGGUCAAAACUCGAGGUGGGAACUAAAACCGGGUUACCCAUUCCCCCACGAGUUCAUAUAUGCAAUUUGUUUUGAAAUCGGACCCAAAUUGAGNNNNNNNNNNNNNNNNNNNNNNNNNNNNNNNNNNNNNNNNNNNNNNNNNNNNNNNNNNNNNNNNNNNNNNNNNNNNNNNNNNNNNNNNNNNNNNNNNNNNNNNNNNNNNNNNNNGGUUCUACACCAAAUCCCCAUUUUUACCCAUUGAAAGCUUUGAUUUUAAGUUGAAAUCAUGAUAAAAGAUGUUAAAGUUUGAAGAAAUUGAGUAAUAUUUGACUUACAAGUGGUUUGAGAGAGAAAAAGUCGAGAGAAAAUCGCGAAUAGAGGUUUGGGUUUUGAAAAUAUGAAAAAUGAAGUUUGAAAUCGGCUAAGUAUAAGUUGCACAGUUGCAGAUGUCGCAAUUGCGAGAUUUUGUUCGCAAUUGUGAACUCAGAAUAAGAAAGGCGGAACUCGCAACUUGUAUAUGAUAGGCAAUUCGUUUCCAUUUCUAAAUCCUCAUACCACUGUUUCAUUGCUCUAUGAUUUAAGUCAAUCUAAAGCUCAAUCUCUUGACACUACCUAGGAAGUCGAUGCACCAGCGCAAAUCAACAAGAAUGGUCCAUAGCACAGUACUAAUUUCUGAAAGGUUUAGAUCAACUAAAAUUAGAAGUUCUAAGGAUAUCAGCAGGUUCAUAAGCCCAAUUAUGGCUCCUAAAAGUACUUAGCAAAAUCUAAAACCAUCAUCCUUGUUUAAUAUUAAAAUUAAUUACAUAUUCACUUCUUUUAAGAGUUUUAACUUCAGACUAAUCCCAUUGAGAACAAAGCAGUAUGUUAUAUCAGGUAGAAGCAACAAAAGGUCUCCUUGAAUUCACAAGUUAAGUUUAAUUAUUGAAACAUGUUACAUCAAGUAGCAGCAACAAAAGGUCUCCUUAAAAUUCACAAGUUAUGUCUAAUUAUUUAGAGGACACAUGACUAAGAUAGUCAGAAUAGCAGCAAAUAAACAUGGAACCCCAAAUUAUAAACUUCUAAUGGAAAUUUAGUCCAAAACAGCACUCUAUUCUAAAUGCCCCAGAAUAAUUACAUUAUCACCAUCCUGAAUUCCAACGUGAGAGUGAUACCACGCAACAUACAUAACAUAACAAUUGAAUAUAGACCCAAUACAAUUUCAAUCAACAAACACUUUGGAUAUUAAAUACAACAUUCAAAUUGUUCCCAAAUGUCUUGGAGCUUGUGACAUAUUCAUGGCAUUUCUAGCUCAAGCGAGUUUACAACUCGGGUCCCAAAUGCUAUGGCAGUAUCUAAAUUCAAUUUUAUACUCAAAAUAGACAAAACAUGAAAAUCAAUGAUUAUAAUCACUUGCUCAACAGAUAAGAACAUGUAAUUUCGGAAAUCCUUUCUCAUAAAAACAACAAGUGGUCAAAUAAAAUUACAGAGUCGAAAUUGAGGAAAUGUACCUUGCUCCAACAGAAUAAAAAGAAACAAUGAUAAGGAAUGAAUCUGGGCUCAGCAAUGCAGCGAAUCAGCAGCACACAGUAGUUUUCUUCGAUUUAAAAGCUUUUACCCAGGAAAUGCGCAGCAACCCAUUAAACUUUAAAAAGCCAUCGGCUCUUCUCCUCUUUCAUUUUUUUUGAACUUUUCUUUAGUUUUGAAGAUUACUGAUUUUUGGAUCUUCAUUUAAGUUUUUGUUUUAGCUUUGUUUCAGCCAUUUGUGCAUUUCGUAUGUUUAAAUCAUGAGUGAAAAAUGAGUGUAGGAAAAAAAAAGAAGGGGAGGGCGUUAUUGUGCGAUUUGGAGAAGAGGCUUCUGUUAUGGUGAGGAAAAUCAGGGGAGUGAAGGGAUGAAGGGGAGGGCGUUUGUGUGCGAUUUGGAGAAAAGGCUUCUGUUAUGGUGAGGAAAAUCAGGGGAGUGAAGGGAUGUCCAAAUGAAUUUGAUCGAGGACCAAGAAGGUGGGUUCGAUCCACCAUUUGUGGUUGUUCUUCAAGAGAAGAAGCUCCCCUGUUGCCCCAUUUUCUUGUGAAGGGAUAUGAUGUGUAAAAGGGGGAGGGUUUUUUUAUUUUUGCGUGUGUCCUCUAGAGUAAAUCGAGUGUGUGUGCUUUUAUCGUGAAGAAGAAGAGAACAGGAAAGGGGGCACGCAUUUCGCGUGUCUUUUAAGGGAAGAAGGGGUAUCAGCUAAAUGGGAUUUCGGUCAUGGGUCAUGGGUUUUUGGGAUGGGUUUAAUUGGGCUGAGCUAUUUGGCCCAAAUUUGGGUCUUAAGACUAACCUUUUAGUUUGUUUUUCUUUGGUUUUUCUCUUUUAUCUCUUUUAUUAAUUAAUUAAAAUCCUAAUUUAUUUUUGUAGACAUUAAAACAACUAAUUAACUUAAACUGA